rnacentral:rRNA from 1 species
GACGAACGCUGGCGGCGUGCUUAACACAUGCAAGUCGAGCGGAAAGGCCCUUUCGGGGGUACUCGAGCGGCGAACGGGUGAGUAACACGUGAGUAAUCUGCCCUUGGCUUUGGGAUAACUACCGGAAACGGUGGCUAAUACCGGAUAUGACCAUGCUCGGCAUCGGGUGUGGUGGAAAGUUUUUUCGGCCAGGGAUGUGCUCGCGGCCUAUCAGCUUGUUGGUGGGGUAAUGGCCUACCAAGGCUUCGACGGGUAGCCGGCCUGAGAGGGUGACCGGCCACACUGGGACUGAGACACGGGCCCAGACUCCUACGGGAGGCAGCAGUGGGGAAUAUUGGACAAUGGGCGGAAGCCUGAUCCAGCAACGCCGCG